AUGUCAUGGUGUUGGAUCUGUGAUCUGAUUCGCAGGGAGUUCGUGAAGAAGAACUACAGUGACAUCAAGACCCGCAACCCCACCCUCCCCGUCCUCAUCCGCGAGUGCUCCGGUGUCGAGCCUCAGCUCUGGGCGCGCUACGGUAAGAAUCCCUCGAUCCCUUCUUUCCUGGGAACCAGAGAUCUUGCUCUUGCCAUGGUUCCCGGGAGGGUCUGUUCCGGUCUAUUGAUCUUCGGAACCCUUGCAUCUUUCAAGUGUGAAAUGUUUCUGUUGGAACUACCGGAUCUUGUUAUAUUGGGAGAUAUGGCAAGCGGGGACUUAGGACCGUCCAAUUCCACAGAAAUUUCCAUUGUUCACCUCAAAAUUUAG
rnacentral:rRNA from 1 species